AUGUCGGGGGAUCACAGAGAAGUCAGACUACGAAGAGAUCAUGUACAAAACCAAUUGAAAGUGAAUUGUGUAGCUAGUAUUCAAAACAUCUUUACUUGUUUGAGUUUCAUGUUUUCUUACAUAAGUACAUUGAUGACAUUGUUGAUGUGGGUAAAGAUGAAAUUUGUAAUUUCCAUGCUAUUGCAACUUUACUUGGAUGAGGCAAAGAGUCUUGGCCUUUGGUUCAAACGUAGUUAG